GAGGUGGGGCAUGUGUCAAAUAUUUGAGUGUCCAUAAAAGUCCAAACAAGAUAUGCUAAAAGUCAGAUAUGGGUACACAUUUGUAUCCUAUAUAUGUGUGUGUAAAUAUGCAUAAUGUAUGCAUAUAUUAAAUAACGAGCUAGAAUUCUGCUCCUUAAAUUCAUAAAAUUUGAUAAAACACUUGGUAAUUGUUAUAUUGACUUGAUAACUUUGAUAAAGACUGCCAAAAGUAUACGUGCCAUGAUGAUGAAUUCAUGAUUUGAUUGUAGGAAGUAUCAUGGAGUGUCAUGAAGUGACCCAAAUGUCGAAGUGAAUAUGUCAAAAAAAAUCCAAAUAUGGAAUGUCCAUUUAUCCUAGUCAGAUAAAAGGAAAAAGGAAUUUUAAUUUAAACUUCAAAACACCAUAGCAAACAAUUGUAUCAUCAGUAGUUUGCCAUUUGUAUUACCUUCUAUAGCUCAUAUUUUAUGGUAUUAUGUAGAAGCUGACUUAGUAGUUGGAAUUAUUAGUAAAGUUUGGUGAGAAUAUUAAAUAUAUUUAUGCUCAGCAUACUAGCUAUACUCAUAAGCUUGAUCUAAGUGAUGAUGUAAGUAUGCAAUCAAAAGAUGUGCAAAGAUGAUAAAAGGUGAAGUAGUCAAGCAUGUAAAAUUUGCUUUGUUGAUCACCUUGUUGGAUGUAUCAAAGUGUUUCCUCACUAGACCAUUAAGAACAAAAUUAUUAGGUUACAUACUAAAUGCUGCAUGGGCAUGUUGAAGCGAUGGGAUCCAUUCAAUCAAUAAUCAUCUCUUUUGGGCUAGUACUUUAAACAAAAAAUGCUACAUAUGGACCAUCUAGGUGUAACUUCUACAUAAAUAGAGGUAAGCAUUGAGUAGCAUUUUCAAAAGUCUGCUUAGUCGUAGUUGAUAAGAUCUGGGGUCAAUUUUACAUGUGCAUAUAUGUCUAAUUCAAAAAAUGAUAUUAAAAUAUUGAUAAAAUAUUGGAGGUUGAAGAUAUAGGGGG
rnacentral:lncRNA from 1 species